rnacentral:rRNA from 1 species
AACGAACGCUGGCGGCAGGCCUAACACAUGCAAGUCGAGGGGUAACAUAGGAAAGCUUGCUUUUCUGAUGACGACCGGCGCACGGGUGUGUAACGCGUAUACAACCUACCUUUUAGCGGGGAAUAGCCCAGGGAAACUUGGAUUAAUGCCCCAUAGUAUAUAGACUUCUCCUGAAGUUUAUAUUAAACAUUUAUGGCUAUUAGAUGGGUAUGCGUCCUAUUAGUUAGUUGGUAAGGUAACGGCUUACCAAGGCAGCGAUAGGUAGGGGUCCUGAGAGGGAGAUCCCCACACUGGUACUGAGACACGGACCAGACUCCUACGGGAGGCAGCAGUGAGGAAUAUUGGACAAUGGGCGAGAGCCUGAUCCAGCCAUGCCGCGUGCAGGAAGACUGCCCUAUGGGUUGUAAACUGCUUUUACAGAGGAAGAACCACCCCCACGUGUGGGGGUUUGACGGUACUCUGCGAAUAAGGAUCGGCUAACUCCGUG